CCAUUCAUUUCACCAUCCAACUUUCACUCUUAUCACUCUUUCUCCCUCUCAAGCAAAUGCAAGAAUUCAUCAUAAAUGGGUCAAAUUUCGGAUUUGAGCUUCUAGUGGAAGAGUUUUGGUCGUGGACCUUGAAGAACUCGGGACAAUCGUGAGCGUUGAAUACUUACCACUUAAUUGUAACUUGACGGUAUAAGGCAAAGGUGACAGGUUAGCUCAAAGGCGUAUUGGAUG